GUGGCAUUGUAUAAUAAAAAUCCAGAAUUGUAUACACAUGGGAAAGGUCCAGCCAGAAAGAGUUUACACGAAAAUAAGUAUAUUUAUCUCAAAGUCGAUUGGCCCACGAAACAUUUGAAUAGAAGUAAGUACUACAAAUAUUACAUGGACUUUGACCAACCUGAAUUUGAAGCAGACGGGCAAUUUGGUCUUCACUUAGAUGAUAUAGCACCAUCUAGUCGAUUUGAAGUUUCAUGUCGAAAACUGUUUUCUCUAACAUAGUUGGCCUUUGCAUCUUGGAAAAUUGUUCUAAGUUUUCGCAUUCCUCAGGCUCGCAGCUUGAGAACAUCCUUGGAAGCAUUGGGAUCUUUAAAAAUUGCUUGGCAAACACGAGAUAUAGUUGACUCAAUAUAUGCCACGUUAAUCUGCCAAAGGGAAUUAACCAUUGCAUCUUUCUUUUCUUCCAACAUUUUGAUGGAAUGCUCAUCCUUAAUCUCUCCUUUACCUGACUUUUUCAACUCCUCCUGUAUUUGAAUCAAGGACACGGCAGCUGAAGCUACUGAGACUUGAGAUUUUAUCCAAUGUCCUUUGUCCCGCACCUACUUUACAAGAAAUGGAACCUUCAUGUAACGCUUGCCCUUCUUGAUUUCUCUUGCGGUUUGCCUCGUGUAAAUGUAGCGAAUAGUAUACAUCAUUGCCUUACCAAAAGUAGUUUGAGAAAGAUGACGGGCUUCAGAUUUUUCCCAUUGCACAAACUCAGUAGUUUGGCAUACAUCCCACAGAAUAAGGUAAUUAUCAUCUCGUCAGACGAGUCAGAUGAAUACAGC
rnacentral:lncRNA from 1 species